rnacentral:rRNA from 1 species
AUGCUCAAGAAGGCGAUGGUGAGCACACCCGUGCUCGCCCUUCUGGACUGCGCGCGCCCAUUCACGAUCGAGACUAAUGCCUGCGACACGGGCGUGGGCGCGGUGCUCAUGCAAGACGGCCACCCCGUGGCAUACCUCGGCAAAGCCUUGGGCGUGCGCAAUCAGAAGUUGUCGACCUACGAAAAGGAAUUCUUGGCGGUGAUGAUGGCUGUCGACAAGUGGAGACCUUAUCUUCAGCGGGCGCCGUUCGAGAUCGUCACCGACCACAAGAGUCUCUGCGCCCUCAGCGACCAGCAAUUGGCGACGGAGCUGCAGCGCAAGGCCAUGGCGAAGCUGGUCGGCCUCCAGUUCACCUUCCGCUACAAGCGCGGCACCGACAACGGUGCAGCGGACACGCUCUCGCGUGCCGGCCACUUGAUGGCUCUCGGCGCGCUCUCCUUGUGUCAACCACAGUGGCUCCAGGAAGUCGCCAACUCUUACGCGACGGACCCGGACGCCCAGGAGCUGCUCGCCAAGCUCGCCGUCAUCGACACUGACGACCAGGGGCGCACCCUGCAGCAAGGCGUCAUCAGGCAGCGUGGGCGCCUCUGGAUUGGAGCAAACUCGGCCCUGCAGACGAAGCUCAUCUCGGCGCUGCACCACAGCGCUGUCGGCGGCCACUCCGGUGCCACGGCGACCUACCAUCGCGUCCGCAAGCUGUUCGCUUGGACCGGCCUGAAGCGUGCGAUCGAAGAUUUCGUCAAGCAGUGCGCCGUGUGCCAACACUCCAAGCACGAGCACACGCACCCGGCAGGCAAGCUUCAGCCGCUGCCCAUUCCUCAAGCUCCGUGGCAGGAAUUGACCAUGGAUUUCGUCGAAGGACUUCCCAAAUCAGAGGGCUACGAUGCAAUCAUGGUCGUCGUCGACCGGCUCACCAAGUACGCACAUUUCGUGCCGCUCCGCCAUCCCUUCACGGCAGCUCAGGUCGCCCGCGCGUUCUGGGAACACAUCAUCAAGCUUCACGGCGUGCCUCACUCCAUCGUGUCUGAUCGUGACAAGAUCUUCACCAGCACAAUGUGGCGCGAGCUCCUCGCCACCGCCGGGACCAAGCUCCUGUACUCCACGGCUUACCAUCCGCAAACAGACGGCCAAACAGAGCGCGUCAACCAGUGCCUGGAGAUGUACCUCCGGUGCGCCGUGCACGAGACGCCCAAGCAAUGGCGCAAGUGGCUACCUACAGCAGAAUUCUGGUACAACUCGACCCAUCACUCCUCUCUGAACUGCUCCCCGUUCAAAGCUUUAUAUGGGCGAGAGCCAAAUCUUGGAGGGCUACCACACCUGGAUUCGGAGCUGCCAGCGAAUGCCCAGGGCGAGGAUCUGGACUGGGCCUCUCACACUGAGCUGCUCCGAUCGCAGCUAGCUCGCGCCCAAGAUCGUUUCAAGAAGCAGGCAGAUCGUCACCACGCUGAACGCGCGUUUGAUGUGGGAGAACAGGUUUUGCUCAAGCUUCAACCAUAUGCCCAAACUUCAGUCGCCAAUCGCCCCUGCCGCAAGCUGGCCUAUAAGUUCUUCGGACCCUUCCUCCUCACCGAGCGCGUGGGCACGCUCGCGUACAGGCUCAAGCUUCCGCCAGACAGCCGCAUUCACCCAGUGUUUCAUGUUUCCCAGUUGAAGCCUUUCGUUCCUGAUUAUACACCGGUCUUUGCGGAGCUUCCUAAGGUACCAGAUCUUGCAGCCAACGAGAUCCAACCAGCAGCAAUCUUGGACCGUCGCAUGAUGAAGAAAGGAGACGCGCCGGUCAUCCAGCUGCAGAUUCAGUGGGCGAACAUGCCAUCCACAGCAACAACUUGGGAGGAUUACUCGGUGCUUCGUCAAAAACUGCAAGCAUCUGGGAGGAGGAAUCCGCUCGAGAGGGGGACAAUGUCGCGCCUGCAUAUGACAGUAGUCAACAUAUGCAGCGGACGGAACAAGUGCAGGUUCAGAGUUGCACUUGAUCUGAACCUGCAAACACCCUGCGUGGCGAGCUGGGCCGUGGGCCUUGUAGCGUGCGUGUGUUGA